rnacentral:lncRNA from 1 species
AUGGGAUCAGGGUUGGGAUCAGGAUGGGAUCAGGAUGGGAUCAGGGUUGGGAUCAGGAUGGGAUCAGGAUGGGAUCAGGGUUGGGAUCGGGAUGGGAUCAGGGUUGGGAUCGGGAUGGGAUCAGGAUGGGAUCAGGAUUGGAUCAGGACGGGAUCAGGGUUGGGAUCGGGGUUGGGUUUAGGGCUGGGGCUGUGGUGACACCCCGAGUGCAGCUGCCAAGACAAUCCUGGGAUGGUCCCUGGGUUUGGAGGCCCCCGUGGAAUUUUCCCGGCGCCAUUCCCGGCGCCAUUCCCAGUGCGUUCCUGUUCCCAUUCCCAUCCCGUUCCCAUUCCCAUCCCGUCCCCGUUCCCAUCCCGGUGCUGUUCCCGUUCCCAUUCCCAUCCCGUCCCCGUUCCCAUCCCGGUGCUGUUCCCGUUCCCAGUGUGCCCGGACCUGGUGGACAAGUACCUGGAGGAGACGUCCAUCCGCUACGUCACGCCCCGCGCGCCCGGGGGGGCCCCGCCCGGCCUCGGCCACCCCCACAAAUCAGGUACGGCCGGCUGGGUCCUGUGGGAUCGUUAUGUGUCCUUUGGGAUCGUUAUCCAUCCUUUGGGAUCGUUAUCCAUCCUUUGGGAUCAUUAUCUGUCCUUUGGGAUCGUUAUCCGUGCUUUGGGAUCGUUAUGUGUCCUGUGGGAUCGUUAUCCGUCCUUUGGGAUCGUUAUCCGUCCUUUGGGAUCGUUUUCUGUGCUUUGGGAUCAUUAUCUGUGCUUUGGGAUCGUUAUCUGUCCUUUGGGAUCAUUAUCUGUGCUUUGGGAUCGUUAUCCUUCCUUUGGGAUCGUUAUCUGUGCUUUGGGAUCAUCACCCCCCCUUUGGGAUCAUCCCAGAGUUCCCCACCUCGGAGCCUCUCGGGGCUCUGGGUUUAGGAUCCGUGCCCAGAUCAACGGGGGGGGUUCAAGGAUUUGGGGCAGGAAUUGGGGUCACCUUAAUGAGGAGGGGAAUUUGGGGGUCCCUGGGUUGGGAAUUGGGGUCACCCAGGGACCCCCCCUCAGGGCAUCCCAAAAUUCCCACUCCAGCCCCCUUGCGGGGCUCUGCCCGGAUCUGUGGGGGAAUUUAUGGGGUCGGGGGGGACUGGGCUCACCCUUAGUGGGGGGAUUGGGGUCCCCCUCAAUGGAUGGGGGAGAUUUGGGGUCCCUGACCCCACUGGUUCCCCAGUGCCUGUCCCCCCGUCCCUGUGCUGACCCCCAGGGUGGGAUUUGGGGUCCCUGGGGCUGGAUUUGGGGUCCCUGACCCCAUUGGUGUCCCGUUCCCCAGUGCCUGCCCCCCACCCAUCCCUGUGCUGCCCCCCGGGGUGGGAUUUAGGGUCCCUGGGGAUGGAUUUGGGGUCCCUGGGGUGGGAUUUGGGAUGGAUUUGGGGUCCCUGGGGUGGGAUUUGGGGUCCCUGACCCCA